AACGAACGCUGGCGGCAUGCCUAACACAUGCAAGUCGAACGAGACCUUCGGGUCUAGUGGCGCACGGGUGCGUAACGCGUGGGAAUCUGCCCUUGGGUUCGGAAUAACAGCGAGAAAUUGCUGCUAAUACCGGAUGAUGACGUAAGUCCAAAGAUUUAUCGCCCAAGGAUGAGCCCGCGUAGGAUUAGCUAGUUGGUGAGGUAAAGGCUCACCAAGGCGACGAUCCUUAGCUGGUCUGAGAGGAUGAUCAGCCACACUGGGACUGAGACACGGCCCAGACUCCUACGGGAGGCAGCAGUGGGGAAUAUUGGACAAUGGGCGAAAGUCUGAUCCAGCAAUGCCGCGUGAGUGAUGAAGGCCUUAGGGUUGUAAAGCUCUUUUACCCGGGAUGAUAAUGACAGUACCGGGAGAAUAAGCUCCGGCUAACUACGUGCCAGCAGCCGC
rnacentral:rRNA from 1 species